UUAAGUUCAGCGGGUCUUCCUACCUGAUCCGAGGUCAAGCGUAAAAUUGUAGACUUGUGGAUGCCACCGUCAGCAGUGGAGAGCGCAAAAUGUGCUGCGCUCCCACACGGGACGGCGGGCUGCCAAUGUAUUUGAGGCGAGUUCACGCACGCAGCGGAACAAACGCCCAACACCCAGCAGGGCUGGAGGGUACAAAUGAC
rnacentral:misc_RNA from 1 species